CCGAGUUGACAAGACUCCCUAAACCCUUGUGAACCUUACCUUAUACGUUGCUUCGGCGGGACCGGCCCAGCGCCCCCCGGCCCGACCAGGGCGCCCGCCGGAGGCUACCCAAACCUCAUGUACAUUAGUGGUUCCUCCUCUGAGUAUCAUACUGAAUAAGUAA
rnacentral:misc_RNA from 1 species